UAUUGGACAAUGGGGGGUACCCUGAUCCAGCCAUGCCGCGUGUGUGAAGAAGGCCUUAUGGUUGUAAAGCACUUUAAGCGAGGAGGAGGCUACUGAGACUAAUACUCUUGGAUAGUGGGCGUUACUCGCAGAAUAAGCACCGGCUAACUCUGUGCCAGCAGCCGCGGUAAUACAGAGGGUGCGAGCGUUAAUCGGAUUUACUGGGCGUAAAGCGUGCGUAGGCGGCUUUUUAAGUCGGAUGUGAAAUCCCCGAGCUUAACUUGGGAAUUGCAUUCGAUACUGGGAAGCUAGAGUAUGGGAGAGGAUGGUAGAAUUCCAGGUGUAGCGGUGAAAUGCGUAGAGAUCUGGAGGAAUACCGAUGGCGAAGGCAGCCAUCUGGCCUAAUACUGACGCUGAGGUACGAAAGCAUGGGGAGCAAACAG
rnacentral:rRNA from 1 species